AUGGGGUGGGAUUGGAUCCAUGGAAUGGGAUGGGAUCAAUGGGAUUGGAAGGGAUCCAUGGUGUGGGAAGGCACCAUGGGAUGGGAUCCACAGAAUGGGAUGGGUUCAAUGGGAUGGGAUUGGGAUGGAAUGGGAGAGAUGGAUGGGAUGGGAUCCGUGGGAUCAAGGGAAUCCAUGGGAUCAAUGGGAUGGGAUAAUGGGAUGGGAUCCAUGGGAUCCAUGGGAUGGGACAGUUCCCUUCCUUCCAUGUGUCCCAGUGAUGGAUUUGUCCCAUUUUCCACCCCAGCCAUGCAGGAGCUGCCGGGUCCUGCCACGCCCACUCAGGAGGAUCCAGCAGCUCCUCCAGCCCCACCCCGCCCGGAGAACCCCCGAGCUCUCCCGUCCUGGCUCUGUCCGGAGCAUCCCGCAGCUUUCCCAGCCCGGAGGCACCAGGAGGCUCCAGGAGCUCUCCCAUCCCAGCCCCACCAGGAGGCUCCAGGAGCUCUCCCGUCCCAGCCCCACCAGGAUUCCCAAACUCUCCAAUCCCACCCGUGCCAGGAGCAUCCCGGCUGUGGGAUCGCCCUGCGCAGCCUCCAGGCCCGGCUGGAGGAACUGGAAAACCAGGUGGGGGCUGAGGGUAUCACCUGGGGGGGCACCUGGGGCACGGCCACUCCAGGGUGGCACUUGGAGCCCGUCCCAUUCCCGCCAGGUGGCGGACGCUGGAGCUGGAGCGGGCACGGCAGGAACUGGUCCUGCAGCACCUCCCAGAGAGCGGCCACAGAUCCUUGGAUCACCCCACAUCCCAUGAUCACCCCAGACCCCAGGAUCACCCCAGACCCCGGGAUCACCCCGGAACCCAGGAGCAGCACGAGCAGCUCACAGGUAAAUUCCCUCCAAGUGCAUCGUUCCAGUGGGACCCUCUGCUUGUUCCCAACGGCUCGGAGCCGAUCCCACAGAAUCCAGGCGGUCCCGGGACAAGUCCUGGUGUCCUGGAGGAUUCCUGGGCCUGUAGAUCCCUGUCCCAGCCCUCCUGGGGGGAUUCCUGGCCAGAGGCUCUGCUGCUCCAGUGCCCAGCGGCGCUCGAACAGGGCUGCUCCAGUGCCCAGCGGCGCUCGAACAGGGGCUGCUCCAGUGCCCAGCGGCACUCGAACAGGGGCUGCUCCAGCGCCCAUUGGCGCUCGAACAGGGGCUGCUCCAGCGCCCAUUGGCGCUCGAACAGGGACUGGCUCCAGUGCCCAGUGCUGCUCGAACAGGGGCUGCUCCAGCGCCCAUUGGCGCUCGAACAGGGACUGGCUCCAGUGCCCAGCGGCACUCGAACAGGGGCUGCUCCAGUGCCCAGCGGCGCUCGAACAGGGGCUGCUCCAGUGCCCAGAGGCGCUCGAACAGGGGCUGGCUCCGUCCGGGAUCCCACCGGAUCCUCAGGAAAGGGGAAGAGUUCCACGGGAUAUUCACUGGAAUCACGAGGAAUUGCAUGAAAUUCACUGAAUUUUCCGAUUCACAGAAUUUGCAGAAGUUCACAGAGUUCACAGAACUCAUGGAAUUCACGGAAUGCACAGAAUCCAUGGAAUUCUCAGAAGUCACGGAAUUCAUGAAAUUCACGGAAUUCUCCAAAUUCACAGAAUUCACAGAAUUUGCAGGAUUCACAGAAUUCUUC
ensembl:lncRNA